rnacentral:sRNA from 1 species
CCACUGUAACCGGAAAUCGGACACCACGGAUCGGUCAGUAAUUUCGAACAGAAACUUUAAGUCGAUCUCCGUCAAACUUUCGCAUUUAUCUGUUCCAUGUGUCGCAACUACCGCGAUUUUUCUCCGCGACGAAGCGGAGAGAUAAGGCUAUCAUUAAUGCAAAAAUGAAUUAUUCACAAGGAUGUGAAAAAAUUUCAUUGAGUUACAUGAUCACUCAAAAGAAUAUUGAUCUCUCUGGGAUAUUUACAUUUUCUCGCAUCAUGUUAUUUAAUAAAACUUUUUUUUUACGUGUAGUAUAAAAAUAUUUUAAUUAGAAUUAAUUUAAAAGUUCAAGUUAUCAUUAUGCGACGUAUUUAUGUACAUAUGUACACAUAUCAAUGCAGUAGAGCGAUUAAUAAUGCGCAAUGUAAUACAAAUGAGAUACAUAUUAAAAUAACAAUGCGAGUAAAAAAGAUAAAUAACUCUUUACUCACAAAAAUGAACUUAAAAACGGAUCAUGCGUGUGGUGUCAGGACUAAGUUGUUAGAACUUAAACGAUCAUGAUGCAAGUAAUGCCCUGUGUGCGGUUUGUCGAGUCACCACACAAAUCAUCGACACGUGGAAUCGAUUAGAUGUCAUUCUCCGCAACCUUGCCACUGCCAAGGACUGCGCGAGCGUAAUCGCUCUUCUAAAGAUGCGAAGUGUACGAAGAACGUUAUGCCAUCGUGUUAUCAAUCAAGCUGUCGCAGUCAGCGCGGGAGAGUGCGGCAAUCGCGUUCGAGGGUCGGGCGUUUUCUAGGACGCGACGGAGGUGGGAGAGAGAUUCCUGGCACGCGGAGAAACGGAAUAAUUCUAUGCGCUCGCGGUGCAUACACGAGUGACUGUUGGCGGGGGUGCAGAGAGAAAUGAAGAGCGAGAGAGAGAGAGAGAGAGAGAGAGGGAGAGCAGGAGAGACGAGAGUCGGCGAGAGAGGAGGGGUUGGCGGUCGGGCGACGGUCUCGUGCAUCAUCCACGUCACGAUCGCUGCCAAUGGGAUCUUGGAUAUCAGGUGAUGCUAUUGGGGAUUUGCAUCUCCUGGACGCGUCGAAUGCAUGAGAGAGGUGAGGAGGCCCUCUCGUCCGUGAGCCGGCUGGCGCGACGAGAACGAUGGGAAAUCCGGUUGCGUUGCAUAUAUAGGCGGGUAAGACGAGGACGCAGCCAGGGACGCAUACAGGGUGCUUCCAAAUUAAACCAAAAAUCAAUUUUUAUAAACGUAUUCUUUGUUUCAUAAGAACGAAUCUUUCUCCUUCGAUCUUUAUUUAAAUUUAGUCAUCGAAAGAGAUUUAAUCUUCGACAAAACCGAAUCUUCUAGAACCUAUGACGUGAACAACGUCGCUAUAUGUACUCGAAACUGACAUAAAGUAAUAAUUAAUAUAAAAAGUGCAUUAAAGAAAAAAAAACAAUUUUUAUAGAAAGUGAUAUGAUGAAAAUUAUCUUGUUAUUUUUAUGAUUUUCUUUAAAAUGAGAUAAUAUAUCACUAAAUGGGAACAAAUCACUUCUGUGUCAAAAAGGGCAAAAUUAAUGGUAUCCGCUGAGUAUCUGUUUGAUGAGCGAAACUUUCAAUCAGAUAUUCACCAUAAAGGAAUCGACUGCAAAUUUGUCACCGAGUUCGCCAGCCAAAUUAAAAGUUGUGUUUAAUUUGGGACCACCGUGUAGAUCGUGGCGAGCGCGAGAAAGAGACGCGGAUAGAUAGCUAGUAGUGGAAACGGGAGAAACGAAGAGAAACGGAACAUGGUCGAUGUGUCUAGCGCAACCCGGCUGGCUGGCUGGCUGGCUGGCUGGCUGGCUGGUUCGGGUAGUAGCUAGCUGGUUGGUUCGGCUGACUGGAUCAACCGGGGACCGUCUAGCUUGCGUCUACCCCGCCGCACAAGCCAACCCGGCAUUAUCUAUACGUCUAGACACCCCUGCGCCACCGAGAGAAGACCAUAGCGGUUUGGCGCUCCGCUUGUAAUUUACAGCGCCCCCCCGCCGUGUCUCUACACCCACAAACUCACUCUCUCUCUCUCUCUCUCUCUCUCUCUCUCUCUUUCUUCUUUUUCUCCGCCUCUUUCACACUUCUGACGAUGGCUAAGAUCGCGCUUGCACUUCCUCUGCUCGAGUUUUUCCGCGUGCCCCCUUUCGCCUCCCUCCUCUUCACCUGUUCCCGCCUUGACGUCCCUUCAUUUUUCUGCCAUUCGAUACCAGCUCGAGUGACUGGGAUCGAAAGUUCACCGACGUUGUCGUAAAUCUCGCGUCUGUGAAUCGCGAGAUCGUUUUUCUUAUAAUCUCAUAUAAAACGCGAUGUUGGAAACGAGAUAAUUGCAUUCGACAAUAUAACGCGUGAAUUGUUACCGCAUAUAUACAUGUACAUAUAAGUCUACGGUUGUUUCGUCGAAAAUUCACGCUCACGCGUUUGCGUUGCCGUUCAUUAGAACGGGAAAUUGUUGCCGAGAGUUGGAUGUUUGUAAUUUCAUGGAACAAUGGCGUGGCAAGCUGCAGACGUUAUCGCAUUUAUUAAUACUGAUGCGCAGAUAUAUUUGCAUCAAGGUCGGUAGAAUGCAUGCAUGCGAUCUCCCAUUCGGUCAUCCCUCCCACAGCCAGACUUUUAUAUGACGAUUCUAUAGCGGUUAGAGAAGAGCUCUGUUAAUCCUGACACUAGAUAAAAACAAACCCCGUCCAAAGUACGAAAUAUGCGUCUGCGGUUGGAAAGGCAAAGCAAAAUUUCCAAUCGAUUCCCGUUAAAUAAGCGGCGCAGUAAACUUUAAUUUAAAAUCGUCGGUAUCGUUUGGCAUUCUAAUUCAUUCUAACAGUCGAAAUAAUCGUGAAUCAUUUGUAGCCCGCACGCCGCGUUGUUUUUCCAAGAUUUUAUCCAAACAAAUAAAUCGAUAUAGGUAUAUCGGUAUUUUGACACAUCUCUCGCGCUAUGAUUUUUGCGGAUUUAACCAAAUAAAUAAAUAUUGUGGAAAACAGACACAUGAUACGUAUCUGGACACUCCAUAUAUAUAUCCUUUUACCUGUAUAUAUAUCCUUUUACAAGUUUAGUUUGUUCAAGUACAGCCAAGUAAUUAUAUAUAAUUAUAUUUAAUACUUUAAAUUAUUUAGUUAUCUUUACAAUGCCUUAUAGUUAUGUUACACAGUAUGUUACACGAUUAAUUAAUAUUCUAUACAUAAAAAUCGUCGUUUUGAGUUUUCAGCAGCAGACUGUCUGGAUAGUUGCGCUAGGACAGCAAGUGAGUAACGGCGAUGAACUUUCGAAUUUCGGAACAGUGGGAGGAACAGAGGAUGGCGCGAUUUUCCCUGGGGGUAUAAAUUGAACGGAGAUGCAGGCUACGACGACGAAGGAAGACGGAUGGCUAGACGGAUGGCUAGAUCGACAUCGAAAGAGGGAGAGGAGGGAAGAGAAUGGCGAUGAAGGCGCAGACUACGGCGCUGAAGUCAGGGGUUGAUGUUUUAAGCGAUGUAAGUUACAGGCGCUACGAAUAGUGGUCUCGGGCGCAGAUUAGUCGUAAUCUGGGUACGUUGCACUCUGCAGCUCUCUCUCUCUUCUUUGGUUAAUAAAUGCAUCUUGCUCUCUCUCUCUCUCUCUUUCUCUCUCUCUCUUUCUCUUUACUUCGAUGUUAUACGCUCUACACAGUACAUCCUUCGACCCGUAUGUUCUCAUACAUUCGAACGUAUGUACGUCUACAUCGACUUGGGGCGACCUCGACGAUGUAGACGUACAUACCCAGGCCAGAUAGACGCUAUCGUCGUUCUAUCGUUCGUUUGAUUAUUUGCCGGUCACCUCGACAAUCGAAGAAGAUUCUCCGGUGAGGUCAUUCACGUUUCUACUAGCUUUGUAACCGCGAGAUUACCGCGACUGCGACAAAUGUUAUAUAUCGGAUGAUGGAUCUAUAAGGUUUUCAGUGAAAUUGUGAAAUUGUCAUCUAUUUCGUCAUUUCGAUAUUCUUGCAAAAUAGUCUGAUGUGUAUUGGAUAAAGGAAAAUUGGAAAAUUCGUGACGCCAGAUGGUUUAGAGAAAAAUGAGUAAAACAUUUGAAAUUAUUCGUUUUUGCGAUGGCGUUUCAUAUUUUCACUGCAAAGGUUUUAUUCACGACGUAAGUUACGAAAGCGAUGGAAAAGUUCCAUGUUUAUUCUCAGAAAAAAAAAAACAGGCCGAGAAUUUCAAUAUUACCGCGCGCGAUAACUAUAGCAACAAUCCGAGGUAUCGAACAAACCGCGCAGCAUACGCUUUGGCCGGUCUCAAUAUCGAGGACUUUGUUCGCCGUGUGUGAAGAAAAUAUCACGUUCAAAUGUCGGAGGAAAAACAAGGCAGAGAGAGCAAGAAGGUGACCGAGAGGGUGAUCCUUACGAAACGCGGUGAUGCCUCUAAAAACGAAGUGGCCGCUGAUAACAUUCGCAAGGAAACCAACGUUCACGAAAGCCUGUCGCGACGAUCGUGGCCGCAGAAGUACGAGCACCUGAGCGGACAAUUUUUCAGCCAGGUGCUGGCGGAGGAAUGCAGAAAAGCGGGACUUCCGGCGAACACUUUCGAGCGUGACCCGCCGGAAGACGCGGCCGAACGUUCGCCGAUUCCUUUGAAAGCCUCACCGGCCUUCCCCAGGACGACAUCCGCCCAGAUCGGCCAUCGUUCAUCUCGCACGGAAUACAGCCUGGAAUUCGCAGGUCGUUUCUACGUCUCGCCGAGGUGGACGAUCGACCCUCCCGCGGAAACCCCGGAAUUGCGCGCGGUGCAACAAAAAUUUAUCUUUCUAGGUUGAAUGCCUUGAUCAUACGGAAAUGGCGUAUUCGUACGUACACUUAAUUAUGUACAUGUUCAUUGGAUAUAACAUUAUUUUUAAUGAACAAGAAGAUAGAAAAAUAA